UGAAUAUCUCUGUUCUGUACACACCCUAUGUUUUUACCAAACAGAAGGCAGCAACGCCUUGUAAGCAACAGAUCAUUCUGGCCCUCUGUGCCCUUUCAUGUGCAGGUGCUCUGGCUUGCCUGUGCCUCCCCUUACUCUGGGUGUUCUCAGUGAACUCUUAUGUAGUCAUUAAGACCCACCUGAGCAAGCUCUCCUGAUCUGAGUACUUGCCCUUCAUGCCACUCCUCUAUCCUCAUCUGAGUGGACACUGCCAUUCCAGUCUUGAUGCAAGGAUCCAUUCUGUGUCUUCUGAUAAAUUUAGAGAAAGAUGAAGAAACAGACCUACAAACUGGACAGCAUCACACCUUGGCCUUCCUAAACCUGCUAAUUAGCAGCCUGACCUGCCAAUUGAUUCUGCAUCUGUGGAUACAGAGGCACUUACCAGAGAGACACGCUGUGGGAGGCCUCACUAUGACUGAGUAGAACCUGCACAGUUUUAAGGAGAGGAUGCCUUAAAUCCCCUCUGCAGGCCUGUGUUUCUCGUGUCUGUAAAACGGUGACGAGCUCUUCCUGGAAGGCCAAAACAUGAAGUCCCCAGUGGAAUAUUUUCUGGGUCUUAAUUGUACUUUACUCUCUGUGGGAUAACAGCAAACUGGAAAAGCUGUGCUCACAACAUUUCUCUUAACUUUCUUGACAUAUCUGAUGGAAGAAUCCCAAGUUCCAUAUGUAGAUAAUUCCAAGUGCCCUCAUAUUUUGAUCCUAAUAUCAAACUAAUCAAAAAAUACUUGCGCAUGGUGUAAUGGCUCUUCUC
rnacentral:lncRNA from 1 species